GGCCUUAUAGUCAAGUGGUUAAGACAUAAUGUUUUCGUCAUUACAUGCGAGGGUUCAACCCCCUCUGAGGCUA
rnacentral:tRNA from 1 species